AGGAAGAAGAUUGCAGAGGGUCUAGUGGUUUGAGGAGAGAAGCCAAAGAGAAGAAGUACAGAGCACUAAGGGAUUUGGAUAAAUACAGACAACUGCCACGUCUUCUUGGUAGCACUGGUGCAAUCUUGCUUGAGAAAUGUGAAGGCAAGUAAGGGAACUUUUAGGUUUCCUUUGCUCUGCAAAGGGACAAAAGGUUCAUACUUUCCUGAAUCUGGUCAUUGUUGGACAAGGACUGGUGCCAUGGAAGCUCUCUUGAGAUCAUGAGAAAAUGAAUAUGAGGACAAAACUGACAUGCUAAGAAUGGCAGAGGAAAAUAUGGCAAGAACCUCGAUCCUUGAUGUCACUGAGUCACUGACUGAAUCUAUGCUGGAACCAUUAGGAAUCAGUCCUUAUGGUUGAAGAUACUUUUAGUCAUGUUU